AGCUUGGGAGGGACAAAAGAGGAGGUCGCUGGUAGAUGACGGGGGAGCAAGCAAGGACUGAUGGGUGCAUCACUUCACUGCUACCCGUUUCUCAACUUUUGCUUUACACGGCACUAUUUCGACAGCCAAGAUGAGUGCUCUACUCUUACGGUUCAUGCUAACUGAACUGGUGAUGUUUCUUUCUUCACCUCGAUUGACGCCACAUGUUCCCCCUGGUUGCCGUGUCGUCCUCGUCUUCGGCUUGCAAGGGACUGGAUCUGGUGUGAUUGAUUCUUCCUCUCGCAAGGUAGAGGGACAAAAAUUGAAGAUCCAAAUGAGCGACUCAAAUUCAGGAUUUGAGUUACCAAUGUAGUGUCUACGACUGGCUGAUGGUUCAAGAGUUCGAAGAAAGUCAAGCAGAAGGGAAUACUACACAUGCCCACGCUGCUAUAUGCCAAGGUGCUAGAGGCCACAUAUUGGGCAGGAGCUUUCGUAUGGUGUGCAAGUGCUAGAGGCUACAUAUUGCUGGAAGGUGCUCAAUUCACAUUAGGACAGCCCACCCCCAAGAAGAAAUUAAAACAGAGAUUAUUCACUUUGUGAAGAUCAAUAACAAUGAGGAGCAGGUGCCGGCAGCUGAGGCGUGUUUGUCUGGUACACACGAGCCAAUUUCUCCUGUUAGGGUGGACGACAUGCAAGCAGCCGCGAUGACGGACAGGCCGCUCUCGCACCACCAGACUCCCUUCAGGGCAGUUACCCACGGGCACGUACUUUUGCCGUUUAUUUUUACUUGUGAUUCCGCUCGUUGUGAACGUGGCUCGAUCCAUGUUGUGGCCCAGUUAUUAUUUUUGUUUUGUUUCGAUGGAUCGUCUUGGCUUGCUUUUGGCCUGAAGUUGUUGCCUUGCUUUUGGCACACCUGAUUCCACUACCUUUUGUUGUUGCUUGGACCAGUUUCUAUGUAAUGAACAUAUUUAUAUCAAUGUUGUGCUUCUGUUAUAAUCUUGCUAUAUUACACUGGUGAUUUUCGGUGAUUACUCUGAUUUCUACUUGCUCCAGUGAGUAUUUACACGGUCAUACUCAUGUUGUAUAAUUCCUUUGGCUAAAUUGUAUAAUUCUGACAGGUUCAUACAUCAUGUUAAGGAGUAUUAAGUUAUAGCACGCUUACUUAGGUUCUUUGGCAUGUUAUUCAUAGGGUUAUCAAGUAGGUCCUAAUAGGGUUACUCACAGUAUUAAGUUAGGGAUUGAACUUGUGGCGGUCCAAUAUCAUGCUAUUGUGUAUAUUUGCAAUGCUUUGGUCACUGUGUUAUCGUUACUGGAUUGGAUAUGACUUUUACCCGGCAGCGGUGCUGCCUGGUGCGGCAAGCCGCACUUCCUAUCUAGUUAAGAUGCAUCAAACCGUCAUCCCCUCCAUGAGGAAGGGCCAACUCAAGCAGGUAUUACAUCCAUUUGUUUAAGCAGUAAAUUCAGAAAUCUGAAUUGAACUAACUGAUUUGGCUUAUGUUCUGUAAAUGCAGCAUCCAUGUACAAGAAUUUCUGUAAUGUAGAGAAUAAUCUCUUCUUUGUUAAUAAUAGUUUUAUAUAACAUCACUUAUAUCAGGUCAAGUAGCCUCUCAUAAUGAAAUACUGCAUUUUUUGUAGAUCUCUCUCAAAAUGAUUGUUUACAGAUAAAAUUAUUUGUAGAGAUGGAGGACCUCGUAACCGACCAUGUUGGGAGCUUGUGAAGAAAUAGUAUGUUGCUGUAUGGAGGAAUCCUUUAAAUAACUCAUGCUACAUGAGUCAGUGAUCCUGAGGCAAACCUCCACUUUGUGAUAGUGAUGAUAAUUCCAGAUAAUGUUUGUUUCGUUUCAGAUGCAACCUUCAACUAUAGAGGUUUCAGUUUCCUGAUGGCCGAUUUCUUCUUUGCGAGUCUUCCUUUUCCUUAUGUUCACAAGGUGUACAAUUGUCUAUAGUAUUUGCCAAGUUUAAUCUAAUGUCUAGAUAAAAUGUUUUGCAUGGCAGGAAAUAAGCAAGUAGGUAUUUGAAGGUGAACAUUAUAUGAAUCCUCCCGCUCCGGCCUACCCAUUCUUCAGUGAGUUAGUAUCCUCAAGUCACGAUGUAUCAAUUUUGACAUGCAAGACGUUAUGAUAAAAUAGAGGAUGUGGACUGACCAUGGAUCUUGAGCCUUGCUUAUUGGGAUGGAUGUAUGUGAUUGUUUUUC